AGUCUCAGGUAACCUUUUGGUGAAGUAGGAACAUGAAUUGAGUGCCUGCUGUGUUCCCAGCACUGGGUGAGGUGAUGGCUAUGCAGUGGUGCUGAAGCUGGCACCAUCUCGGUACUCACAGAACUUUGAUCUAUUAGGAGGAACAGAUAUCAAACAAGCCAAUGAACCAAAGGCUGGGGCAUAUGAGAAGACGGAGUCUCGCUCUGUCGCCCAGGCUGGAGUGCAGUGGUGCGAUCUCAGCUCACUGCAAGCUCAUUGAUUGAGGAAGCCAUCUGGGGGGUCUCACUCUGUCACGCAGGCUGGAGUACAUUGGCACGAUCACAGCUCACUGCAACCUCGGCCUCCAGGCUC
rnacentral:lncRNA from 10 species